rnacentral:lncRNA from 1 species
UAAUUGAAAUUUUUUUUUUUGUCGUGUUAUCAAAAUUUCGUAUUUAAAUUCCGUGUACUCACUUUAUUUUAAGGUCGGAGCGUGGCCCACUUUAGACCCUCUAUUUUAUUUUGUUUCAGGUCGGACCCACAAGUUUUAUCCGUAUCUUUUAUGAGUUGGUCCCUACAAGUUUGUUUUAUUUCCGUUCCGUGGUCCCCCAUUUCUUAAGUUUGGCUAUGCACUUGGUUACAGUCAGACGUUUUUGUUAACUGUAGGCUGUGUUUAACACAUAAUAUUGUAUUAUUUUAAUAUAUGUGUAUUGUAUUAUUUUAAUAUUAUAUUAUAAUAAUAUUAUA